AUUGAACGCUGGCGGCAGGCCUAACACAUGCAAGUCGAGCGAGCGGCGGACGGGUGAGUAAUGUAUGGGACACUGCCCGAUAGAGGGGGAUAACUACUGGAAACGGUAGCUAAUACCGCAUACUAUCGGAUGCACCCAGAUGGGAUUAGCUAGUAGGUGGGGUAACGGCUCACCUAGGCGACGAUCCCUAGCUGGUCUGAGAGGAUGAUCAGCCACACUGGGACUGAGACACGGCCCAGACUCCUACGGGAGGCAGCAGUGGGGAAUAUUGCACAAUGGGCGCAAGCCGGAUGCAGCCAUGCCGCGUGUAUGAAGAAGGCCUUAGGGUGGUAAAGUACUUUCAGCGGGGAGGCGUUACCCGCAGAAGAAGCACCGGCUAACUCCGUGCCAGCAGCCGCGGUAAUUC
rnacentral:rRNA from 1 species